CGAGAAAGCCCGCAAGGGUGAGUAAAGCGGCGCACGGGUGCGUAACACGUGGGUAAUCUGCCCUAGAGUCCGGAAUAACUCGCCGAAAGGCGUGCUAAUGCCGGAUGAGACCACGGGAGCCUCGGCUCCUGCGGGAAAAGGUGGCCUCUGUAUACAAGCUAUCGCUCUAGGAUGAGCCCGCGGCCCAUCAGCUCGUUGGCGGGGUAAUGGCCCACCAAGGCUACGACGGGUAGCUGGUCUGAGAGGACGACCAGCCACACUGGAACUGAGACACGGUCCAGACUCCUACGGGUGGCAGCAGUGGGGAAUCUUGCGCAAUGGGCGAAAGCCUGACGCAGCAACGCCGCGUGUGUGAUGAAGGUCUUCGGAUCGUAAAGCACUGUCGCGAGGGACG
rnacentral:rRNA from 1 species